rfam:Sugiyamaella lignohabitans strain CBS 10342 mitochondrion genome.
AGAAUUAUAGCUUAAGGGUAAAGCCGACCACUCAUAAUGGUUUGAUCAGAGUUCGAGUCUCUGUAAUUCUA